rnacentral:misc_RNA from 1 species
UGAGUGGUGUUUGGUUUGUUACGGGUGGUCGGCUCUUUGCUUGCGCAACAACUUCUACCUGGCAUACCUCUUCAGUCUUGUGUCAAUGCUUGUAUUGCAUUGAAUGCACGAUGGGUUUCUUGUGUUGCAUGCCUAAUUUAAUGGUAUUGCUUGAUGUAUUGGUUUUCCUUUCGUUUUGCAUUGCCUAUGCGAUGUGAGAUGAACCUUGAAGCAGCCUUUGUGAUCCACUGAUUUGAUGUAUAUGCAUUGAUUUUGUGGCCCAUUGAGUGUUGCUCGGUCUCAUGGAUAUGGAACCUGGUGUGGGCAUGGAAUCUUAAUGGUUCCUUGUUUGCCCAAAUUUAGCUUUUCUAAAACGAUUGUCUAUCAUGUGUUAACAUGCUAGACUACUUCGAAUAUGAAUGCUAC